UUGAGCCCAAUAAGAUAAUAAUGAAUACAAUUUUAAAUAAUACUUGGUGGUGGUGCUUCUGAAACUAAAUUCGUGAAGUAACCCUAUGAGUAUAUUUAAAAAUUAAAAUAUCAAAAAAGGCUUGUC
rfam:Algibacter alginicilyticus strain HZ22 chromosome, complete genome.